UCUCAACCCAACGACAACGGGGGCAAUCUCUCAUUGUUUUUCUCACUAUUUAUCAUCUUCUACAAAAGUAAACCAGCGACAAAAAGAGGAAGCAACGACUACCCAAAAACCUCCAUUGUGAUCUCAAAACUCUGACUUCUAUUCUCGUUUUAUUUCUUCCGGCCCUUUUAUUUUCUUUUUCCCUUUUUAUUUUCUCUUCUUCUUUAUUUUUAAUCCCUUGUUUUCGUCCUUCUUCGUUCACCGUUGCUGCAACUCUUGAAAGCGGUGGUCCUGCCUCUCAGUCACCUUCUCUCUUGCUUCAUCUAACUCAUCUUCCAUCCUAAUCCCCCUGUUCAAAGGCGAUUUGGUCCUCAAAUGGAUUGGGGCAGAAUCCCUAGAUCUUUAUCGUUCGUUUUCUAGCUCUUAUCACUGAACGAUGGCAUUUUAAGCGAAUCCUCUCCCAUCGGUCAUCUGGCAAUCAAGCCUUGGCAAUAACUUCUUGAGGAGCCUAUAAUCGGAGGAACUAAAGGCUUUUCCGGCGACAUUCCCCUCUAUCUGGCAGCACUUCCUUUUCUCCAACGAUCUUAUCUCUAGCGGAAGUCUUCUCUCUAUCCACUAAUUCAGCUUUUUUAUGGCUGGCCAAAGAAAAGAAGAGGCAGAAGAUGAAGAAGUAGGCAGAUUUUUGGCCUCAAACUGAUGAAAGUUUAGGAUAUAUUUUUUUUGGGAUAUGGUCCAUCUAUUUCAAUGAUUUUGAAAAUUGAGAUGUCAUCUGUUAGUUGGUAGAAGAUUAUUUCAAACAUCAAGGCUUUGGUUGUAUACUUGUAUAGUUUAAACAAGAUUACUGCUUGUAUUUUAGCCGCAAUAAAGUAUGGUCUCCUUCAAAUACAUGAAAUUAUAUUAGAUAUGUUGUUCUACCCCUUCCCAUCACCCCAUUCCCAAAAAAGAUUAAACAUGUAGAGAUAAGUUGAUGCAUGAUCCACUAUUGCAAAUGACCCUCUUGUGGAUGGCUCAAGCUGUAAGCCUGUAACCAAGCUUAAUUGAACCAAUUUCUUUCCUUCUGUCUUGCUUCUUGCAUAUCCCCAACUUCAUAGCAAAGGGAACCAUUCUUUGAAGCUUGGCCCUGAAAGCUAAAUAGCACUGACGGCUAAGCUCAUGCUUCAUACAGUUUUUUUUAGGAAUAAUACCUUUUCAAUAUCAUAGAUGGACUCUUUAAUUUAUCCACCUUUAAGUUUUUCAUAGAGCUGCUAACUCCUUGGUGACCCAGUUAUUUGAGCUUUAGGUAGGCUUUCCAAGUACAGUCCAUGCACAAUUUCAUGUUAUCUAUUAAUCAAUUGAUGAGUGGGACAUGUUUAGAAUAAUCUCCAAAGACCCCUAAAUCUGUUCCUCAUCCAUCCUAUCACUACCCUCUGACAACCUAUAAAGAUCGAUAGUAUCAUCCCCUGCAUAAUGGAGAAGAGUUGCACCUUCAGAGAAUGCUUGCAUACAGUAGAGAUAUCCACAUACGCAUCAAAAUCUGCAUUUAGUAAUGCUCCUAGCACUAAGGUUAAGGAGGAAUCAUACCAACACUAAUAAAUUCUUCUAACCCUGUUGAUGGGAACACUCUGAAUUACGUUGGGAAGAACAUCCCCAUUGAUCUUAUUGUUGCUGUCAUUGCCAAAAUUAUUCUUGAUUGGUGUAUUACUAUGGUCUUGGUAAGUUCUUUUUUUGGUCAUAUCAAUAUAUGCAAUGAUUGGGUUUAAGCUUA